rnacentral:rRNA from 1 species
AAUCCAUAGGUUAAUGAGGCGAACCGGGGGAACUGAAACAUCUAAGUACCCCGAGGAAAAGAAAUCAACCGAGAUUCCCCCAGUAGCGGCGAGCGAACGGGGAGGAGCCCAGAGCCUGAAUCAGCAUGUGUGUUAGUGGAAGCGUCUGGAAAGGCGCGCGAUACAGGGUGACAGCCCCGUACACAAAAGCGCAUGUGCUGUGAGCUCGAUGAGUAGGGCGGGACACGUGGUAUCCUGUCUGAAUAUGGGGGGACCAUCCUCCAAGGCUAAAUACUCCUGACUGACCGAUAGUGAACCAGUACCGUGAGGGAAAGGCGAAAAGAACCCCGGCGAGGGGAGUGAAAAAGAACCUGAAACCGUGUACGUACAAGCAGUGGGAGCACCCUUUGGGGUGUGACUGCGUACCUUUUGUAUAAUGGGUCAGCGACUUAUAUUCUGUAGCAAGGUUAACCGAAUAGGGGAGCCGGAGGGAAACCGAGUCUUAAUUGGGCGUUAAGUUGCAGGGUAUAGACCCGAAACCCGGUGAUCUAGCCAUGGGCAGGUUGAAGGUUGGGUAACACUAACUGGAGGACCGAACCGACUAAUGUUGAAAAAUUAGCGGAUGACCUGUGGCUGGGGGUGAAAGGCCAAUCAAACCGGGAGAUAGCUGGUUCUCCCCGAAAGCUAUUUAGGUAGCGCCUCGUGAAUUCAUCUCCGGGGGUAGAGCACUGUUUCGGCUAGGGGGCCAUCCCGGCUUACCAACCCGAUGCAAACUGCGAAUACCGGAGAAUGUUAUCACGGGAGACACACGGCGGGUGCUAACGUCCGUCGUGAAGAGGGAAACAACCCAGACCGCCAGCUAAGGUCCCAAAGUCAUGGUUAAGUGGGAAACGAUGUGGGAAGGCCCAGACAGCCAGGAUGUUGGCUUAGAAGCAGCCAUCAUUUAAAGAAAGCGUAAUAGCUCACUGGUCGAGUCGGCCUGCGCGGAAGAUGUAACGGGGCUAAACCAUGCACCGAAGCUGCGGCAGCGACGCUGAUGCGUUGUUGGGUAGGGGAGCGUUCUGUAAGCCUGCGAAGGUGGCCUGUGAGGGUUGCUGGAGGUAUCAGAAGUGCGAAUGCUGACAUAAGUAACGAUAAAGCGGGUGAAAAGCCCGCUCGCCGGAAGACCAAGGGUUCCUGUCCAACGUUAAUCGGGGCAGGGUGAGUCGACCCCUAAGGCGAGGCCGAAAGGCGUAGUCGAUGGGAAACGGGUUAAUAUUCCCGUACUUGGUGUUACUGCGAAGGGGGGACGGAGAAGGCUAUGUUGGCCGGGCGACGGUU